AAGCGCUGGCAACCAGACUCGAGCGCGGUGUUCCCCCUGGCUUCUGCUAGGGUUACUUCACCGUGUCCGGGCCAUCAUCAGUUUUGGGGACCGGUCAAAGGCCCCGGGAAUGUAUCGUCUCCUUCGGGGGACGACUUAUAGCCCGGCGUGUCAUACCCUUCGGGGGGCUGAGGUACGCGCUUCUGCAAGGAUGCUGGCGUAAUGGU
rnacentral:rRNA from 1 species